rnacentral:piRNA from 1 species
UGUGGGAUAAGUCCUAGGUACCUACUGCC